AUUAGCAAUAAAUAACCCUACAAUACAGACCUUAUCUCAUUUUUUUUAUUAUAUAGUUUCAGCGUUUUAAUAUUCAAAAUGCUAUCGGAAAUUUCCGAUUUAUUUUUAUAUUUUUACUGUCAAUUAACAGUUAUCUAGACGAUUAUUUCAACCACAUAAAUUUGCAAUACUUUCACUAAGAAAUCAUCAGAGCAGUAAACACCUGAUCCCCCCAACCCCGGUCGUCGCUCUCCCUUCAGUCCCAUCCGGAACAGGGGGAGGAGUCGGAAUAAGAGUGCCAGUCCGAAGAGAGACAGGAGCAGAAGUGGGACCAGUGAGGGGGGAGGAGCAGGAGGGGGAGGGGGCCCGGCUAAAGCCAUCAAAGACUGGUUCAGCCGUCGUGAUCGUUCUGUGGACAUUACUCAACGCGGUUUGGAACAACAACAACAGCAACUUCAAACAACAAACAACCCCUUGAUUGUCCGACUCAGAUCAAAAGAACAACUCGCAUCUGGUCAACAGCAGUACACCCACGUUACCCCACAGCAGAAUAUCCCA